rnacentral:rRNA from 1 species
AACGAACGCUGGCGGCAGGCUUAACACAUGCAAGUCGAACGCCCCGCAAGGGGAGUGGCAGACGGGUGAGUAACGCGUGGGAACAUACCCUUUCCUGCGGAAUAGCCCUGGGAAACUGGAAUUAAUACCGCAUACGCCCUACGGGGGAAAGAUUUAUCGGGGAAGGAUUGGCCCGCGUCGGAUUAGCUAGUUGGUGGGGUAAAGGCCUACCAAGGCGACGAUCCAUAGCUGGUCUGAGAGGAUGAUCAGCCACAUUGGGACUGCGACACGGCCCAAACUCCUACGGGAGGCAGCAGUGGGGAAUAUUGGACAAUGGGCGCAAGCCUGAUCCAGCCAUGCCGCGUGAGUGAUGAAGGCCUUAGGGUUGUAAAGCUCUUUCACCGAUGAAGAUAAUGACGGUAGUCGGAGAAGAAGCCCCGGCUAACUUCGUGCCAGCCGCCGCGGUAACAC